ACACAUGCAAGUCGAACGGUAACAGGAAGCAGCUUGCUGCUUCGCUGACAAGUGGCGGACGGGUGAGUAAUGUCUGGGAAACUGCCUGAUGGAGGGGGAUAACUACUGGAAACGGUGGCUAAUACCGCAUAACGUCGCAAGACCAAAGAGGGGGACCUUCGGGCCUCUUGCCAUCAGAUGUGCCCAGAUGGGAUUAGCUUGUUGGUGAGGUAACGGCUCACCAAGGCGACGAUCCCUAGCUGGUCUGAGAGGAUGACCAGCCACACUGGAACUGAGACACGGUCCAGACUCCUACGGGAGGCAGCAGUGGGGAAUAUUGCACAAUGGGCGCAAGCCUGAUGCAGCCAUGCCGCGUGUAUGAAGAAGGCCUUCGGGUUGUAAAGUACUU
rnacentral:rRNA from 1 species